rnacentral:pre_miRNA from 1 species
AGGCUCGGCCUUGCCCAGCGACGGCGAGGCCGCCGUCGCUAGAUCUGGUGAGGCUCGGUCUCGCCCAGCCAUGGCGAGGUUGAGCCUCGCCAGAUCUAGCGACGGUUGCCUUGCCGUCGCUGGGCGAGGCUCGCCUU